CACACUUACACCAUGAUGGGAGCCCAAAAGUGUAUAUUUGUAAUUCUGGCAGUUAUCACUGCCCGUUCUGCCAAUACCAGGGUCAGAGGCUUCAGGUGGAAUACCAUGCCAAAAGCCAUUCUUCUGUGAGGCACAGAGGUCUGAACAACAGAGGUCGCAAGACUGCAAGAGGCGACGGGAGGAAAAGGCAAUGCAGGAUGAAGAGGUUCCACAAAAGAAGCAGGCCAUAAUUUGAAUGCGUCAUGAGUGAGCGCUGCUGGGGGGGAACUGUUACAAUCUGUAUUAGGUUCACUAAUGCCUCAAAAUGUAAUAGUUGUCAGAAUCUGUCUGUGUUUUAUUUUGUCCUGUCCCUGUCUCUGUGUUCAAUAUAAUUGAAAGUCCUGAAUUCAAAGUGUUUCUUAAGUAAAAGAGUAUAAGUAUUAUCAGCUAAAUGUACUCGAAGUAUCAAAAGUAGAAGUACAUGCGGAAUGGCUCUGUUCACAGUAUUAUAUUACCAUUGAUAUUAUCCCGUCAAUUCUAUCAAUUUGUUAAUACGUUGGCACUUUAAUAUAUUUUUUAAAAUACUGGUAGGAAAUAAUGUGAUAUGAUUUCAUUUAUAUCACAUGUUUUUCAGUAAAAAGUGAGUAAAUAUACAAUAUUGACUCUGAAAUUAAAAUCAAAUUAAAAAGUUAAAAAACAAAUGAAGGCCCUUUCUUGAAGUCAUAACUGAAAUAAUUGAUGCAAUUAACAUGCAAAUAGACAUUAAAAUAUGCUUUGAAGGCUGUUAAUGUGUUUAAUUUGAGUUUUACAUUUUUAAAUGCCGUUGCCAUGGCGACAGAUCACUCGCCAU